AUAGUUAUUUUCGUUUUACUCUAUACAGACAAUUCAGUAGUCUAUACCAAUUUGUUGGACUUAACACCACAACGAUAACGUGUGUGUGUAACGGUCCGGUUUACAUAGGAGUGAUGGGUUAUACGACUGCGGGUUGUCAAUGAAGAUGAAUAAAGUCUGAGAUUUCAUUUAACUAAAUACAAGAAAAGAAGAAGGAAAACGCCGUUUCCAAUUACAGCAUAAAAUUAUGAUAGAAGUCAUUUGGUUUUGGACUUAAUACCUUCACGUGUCAUCACUUCAUUUAAUAAAACAGAGUUUAUUUUUUUGUAAAGGCUUCAUGUAUAAA